GCGCCAGUAGUGCAAUGGGUUGAGCAUACGCUGCCGGAAAGGGUGAAAUGCGGGUUCGAGUUCCGUCUGACACA